rnacentral:rRNA from 1 species
CCAGCAGCUGCGGUAAUUCCAGCUCUAAUAGCGUAUAUUAAAGUUGUUGCAGUUAAAAAGCUCGUAGUCGGAAGUCGGGCUCGGGCAGGCUGUCGGCCUCGGUUGGGCAGCUUGCUUGGGUCUUCUAGCUCGGGGGCUCCGUGCCAUUUAACCGUGGUGCGCGGGAACACGGGCCGUUUACUUUGAAAAAAUUAGAGUGUUCAAAGCAGGCCAACGCUUGAAUACAUUAGCAUGGAAUAAUGGAAUAGGACUUUGGUGCUAUUUCGUUGGUUUAUGGGACCGAAGUAAUGAUUAAUAGGGACAGUUGGGGCCGUUUAUAUUCCGUUGUCAGAGGUGAAAUUCUUGGAUUUCUGGAAGACGAACUACUGCGAAAGCAUUUAGCAAGGAUGUUUUCAUUAAUCAAGAACGAAAGU